CGGUCCGAGUUCUGGUGGCUGGCGCCGUGGAAGUGCGUUUCUGUUAACGUGGGCUUCCUGCGAGCUGUCGGACGGGUCUCACAGAACCGAUUCGAGCUGCGUGGCCACACGGAAGCCAGUCCCUUCCUGCGAAACAGACUCCCCACCUGUAAGAACCGAGCUUACCCACUCAGGACCUGGUAUCAGAAUGAAGGGAGGAAUGUAUCUAAAGCCGCAACCACUUGCUACGCCCUUUCUACAUGUUAGCACUUAGGGCGAUUGUGAUUGUUGCAUUAAUUGGUGUGUCUGGUUGUGUCCUGCUGGCCUCCUUCAGGAGACCUGGUGAAGGCAGGACAAGGUUGCUCUGCCCACCCCUGUAUCCGCAGCCUGCUCAGGGCCACACGUAGAUAGUUAAGUAGAUAGUCAUCAGGUAAGCCAAUUCUUACCCACGCUCGCAGGCUGAGUGGACGCUCAGUGAGUCAUUUUGAUAAUAAUAGUGGCAAUGACAGUAGUUGUUGCUGGCCCUUCGGGAGCACGUCCCUUAUCAGGCACCCAGCUAAGUACUUUACAUGUCAUUUACCCUUUUAUCUUCAUAACAGCCCUAUGAGGUAGGUACUAUAGUUAUUCCCGUUUUACAGAUAGGAAACUGAGGCACAGAGAGGGUCCAAGGACAGCUAGUCAACGGCAGACCAGGAUUAGAACCCAGGCAGGCUAGGUCCCACGUCCUGCCCUUCAUCACCCUGCCAUACCACUCACGGUGAGAGAGAAGCAGUGGCCCAGAGGCUCAGCCUUGCCGAGGAAUCCCCACCACACGUUUCUGUCAGCAGACCUCCUGCACUGAGUGAAUGACCUCACCUCAGGUCCCACUGGGAAAACCAGUCCAUAAGAAGGGAACAGAUGGGACUUCCCUGGUGGUCCAGUGGUGAAGACUCUGCACUUCCACUCAGGGGGCACGGGUUCAAUCCCUGGUCAGCAAACUAAGAUCCCACAUGCCUCACGGUGUGGCCAAAAAAAUAGAAGAGGAAGGGAACACAUGGUUGCCUCACAACUGCUUUGGCACUCAUCUCUUCUGCUCUUGUUCCAAAAGGAGUUGGCUAACCCUGGGAAGAGCAGUCACUCCAGUGUUAGCAAGACCCCAAGACGUCAAAGCAUCGGGAAGCACAGAAAAUAAAAAACAAGGGAAAUACCUGUUGUUUAUCCAUUCAUCCGUUGAUGGGCACUUGGAUUGUAAUGGGCACAUAAUUGUA